rnacentral:rRNA from 1 species
AUUGAACGCUGGCGGCAUGCCUUACACAUGCAAGUCGAACGGCAGCACGGGAGCAAUCCUGGUGGCGAGUGGCGAACGGGUGAGUAAUAUAUCGGAACGUGCCCAGUCGUGGGGGAUAACUACUCGAAAGAGUGGCUAAUACCGCAUACGAUCUCUGGAUGAAAGCGGGGGACCUUCGGGCCUCGCGCGAUUGGAGCGGCCGAUAUCAGAUUAGGUAGUUGGUAGGGUAAAGCCUACCAAGCCUGCGAUCUGUAGCUGGUCUGAGAGGACGACCAGCCACACUGGAACUGAGACACGGUCCAGACUCCUACGGGAGGCAGCAGUGGGGAAUUUUGGACAAUGGGCGCAAGCCUGAUCCAGCCAUGCCGCGUGCGGGAAGAAGGCC